CCUGGCUCAGGAUGAACGCUAGCGGCAGGCUUAACACAUGCAAGUCGAGGGGUAUAGGUUUUCGGACCUAGAGACCGGCGCACGGGUGCGUAACGCGUAUGCAAUCUACCUUUCACAGAGGGAUAGCCCAGAGAAAUUUGGAUUAAUACCUCAUAGUAUAGCAGUUUCGCAUGAAACCACUAUUAAAGUCACAACGGUGAAAGAUGAGCAUGCGUCCCAUUAGCUAGUUGGUAAGGUAACGGCUUACCAAGGCAACGAUGGGUAGGGGUCCUGAGAGGGAGAUCCCCCACACUGGUACUGAGACAC
rnacentral:rRNA from 1 species